rnacentral:tRNA from 1 species
GGUGGUGUAGCUUGGUGGCAGAGUGCUUGCCUUGCAUGUUUGUGGCCCUGGGUUUGAUCCCCAGCACUACAA